AGUGAACGCUGGCGGUAGGCCUAACACAUGCAAGUCGAACGGCAGCACAGGAGAGCUUGCUCUCUGGGUGGCGAGUGGCGGACGGGUGAGGAAUACAUCGGAAUCUACUCUGUCGUGGGGGAUAACGUAGGGAAACUUACGCUAAUACCGCAUACGACCUACGGGUGAAAGCAGGGGAUCUUCGGACCUUGCGCGAUUGAAUGAGCCGAUGUCGGAUUAGCUAGUUGGCGGGGUAAAGGCCCACCAAGGCGACGAUCCGUAGCUGGUCUGAGAGGAGGAUCAGCCCCAAUGGAACUCAGACACGGUCCAGACUCCUACGGGAGGCAGCAGUGGGGAAUAUUGGACAAUGGGCGCAAGCCUGAUCCAGCCAUACCGCGUGGGUGAAGAAGGCCUUCGGGUUGUAAAGCCCUUUUGUUGGGAAAGAAAUCCAGCUGGCUAAUACCCGGUUGGGAUGACGGUACCCAAAGAAUAAGCACCGGCUAACUUCGUGCCAGCCGCCGCCGUAA
rnacentral:rRNA from 1 species